rnacentral:rRNA from 1 species
CCUACGGGUGGCAGCAGUGGGGAAUAUUGGGCAAUGGGCGCAAGCCUGACCCAGCAACGCCGCGUGAAGGAAGAAGGCUUUCGGGUUGUAAACUUCUUUUGUCAGGGAAGAGUAGAAGACGGUACCUGACGAAUAAGCCACGGCUAACUACGUGCCAGCAGCGGCGGUAAUACGUAGGUGGCAAGCGUUGUCCGGAUUUACUGGGUGUAAAGGGCGCGUAGCCGGGUUGACAAGUCAGAGUUGAAAUCCUGCGGCUUAACCGCAGAACUGCAUUUAAAACUGUUGAUCUUGAGUACUUGGGAGGCAGAUGGAAGUCCUGGGGUAGCGGGGAAAUGCGUGGAUAUUAGGAGGAACACCAGUGACGAAGGCGGUCUGCUGGACAGCAACUGACGGUAAGGCGCGAAAGCGUGGGAAGCAAACAGGAUUGGAUACCCUGUAGUC